rnacentral:pre_miRNA from 1 species
AAAAACUUGGAAACUAUCGUUGGAUCGAAAAAUGGAUAUAUGAGAUUCAUCCAUAUCACUAUGAGUAAAACUUUUACUCACAGUAAAAUUUUUGCGAGUAAAAUUUUUACUCAUGGUAAGGUGGAUGAAUAUCAUACGUCCAUUUUUUGAUCCAUCGGUGGUUUCUAGGUUUCC